rnacentral:rRNA from 1 species
AGUGAACGCUGGCGGUAGGCCUAAAACAUGAAAGUCGAACGGCAGCACAGUAAAAGCUGGCCUUUACGGUUGGCGAGUGGCGGACGGGUGAGGAAUCCAUCGGAUCCUCCUUUUUCGGGGGGGAUAACGUAGGGAAACUUACGCUAAAACCGCAUACGACUACCGGUGGAAACAAGGGGAUCUUCGGACCUUCGCCGAUUAAUUGAGCCGAUGUCGGAUUAGCUAGUUGGCGGGGUAAAGGCCCACCAAGGCGACGAUCCGUAGCUGGUCUGAGAGGAUGAUCAGCCACACUGGAACUGAGACACGGUCCAGACUCCUACGGGAGGCAGCAGUGGGGAAUAUUGGACAAUGGGCGCAAGCCUGAUCCAGCCAUACCGCGUGGGUGAAGAAGGCCUUCGGGUUGUAAAGCCCUUUUGUUGGGAAAGAAAAGCAGCAGGUUAAUACCCCGCUGUUCUGACGGUACCCAAAGAAUAAGCACCGGCUAACUUCGUG